UAGCUCAGUCAGUUGAGCAUGGCGCUAACAACGCUAAGGUCGCGGGUUCAGUUCCCGU
rnacentral:tRNA from 1 species